rnacentral:rRNA from 1 species
UACGGAGGGAGCUAGCGUUAUUCGGAAUUACUGGGCGUAAAGCGUACGUAGGCGGCUUUGCAAGUUAGAGGUGAAAGCCUGGAGCUCAACUCCAGAACUGCCUUUAAAACUGCAUCGCUUGAAUCCAGGAGAGGUGAGUGGAAUUCCGAGUGUAGAGGUGAAAUUCGUAGAUAUUCGGAAGAACACCAGUGGCGAAGGCGGCUUACUGGUCCGGUACUGACGCUGAGGUGCGAAAGCGUGGGGAGCAAACAGG